UAGGGAAUAUUGGACAAUGGGGGCAACCCUGAUCCAGCCAUGCCGCGUGAGUGAAGAAGGCCCUCGGGUUGUAAAGCUCUUUUGUCCGGAAAGAAAAGCUUCGGGUUAAUACCCCGGGGUUCUGACGGUACCGGAAGAAUAAGCACCGGCUAACUACGUGCCAGCAGCCGCGGUAAUACGUAGGGUGCGAGCGUUAAUCGGAAUUACUGGGCGUAAAGCGUGCGCAGGCGGUUUUGUAAGACAGAGGUGAAAUCCCCGGGCUCAACCUGGGAACUGCCUUUGUGACUGCAAGGCUGGAGUGCGGCAGAGGGGGAUGGAAUUCCGCGUGUAGCAGUGAAAUGCGUAGAUAUGCGGAGGAACACCGAUGGCGAAGGCAAUCCCCUGGGCCUGCACUGACGCGCAUGCACGAAAGUGUGGGGAGCAAACA
rnacentral:rRNA from 1 species